GUUCGAUCACCAUCAGGAUUCAUCACGUUCGAUCGAACAUUACUUCUAAUAAAAGGACAAUAACGUUGACAACAGCCCCUUUAGGGUAGCUGUUGUGAUAUGACACGAGAAAAACAAAAUAUGGACAAUACAAUAUACACAAGUGAAAGUAUUCAAGAAGACAUACCUUCGAGCUCAGAAGUGUUUUCCACUGACACGAUCAAAAAUUGUUCCGGUGAGAUGAGUCUCUUCCGGGUUCCACAAAAAAAAUUCUAAUCUACGAAUGGUCUAAUCGGGUCAAGACUUCCAAUGGCUCCAGGAAUAAUAGGAACUAUACUGACCAUAAAUUCUUCUGGAAUGAUGAAAAAAAAUAAGUAGACUUCUUUUUAGAGUCGAAAAUGGAUCAGACAAAUUGACAUGAGAAAUCCUGAUCAUGGCAGGUCGAUCGCCCUACCUUCCGAUUUGAGGAAGCCGGAAACAUCGGGUGGGGAAUUGUUCCCUUGAAGCCUACUUUAAAAAGUUCAAAUUUUGGAACGCAGGUCCAUUCGCCAUGAGCAGACUUAAGCGAACCAAUCACCUUUAGCGUUGACGAUGCUUGAUUUCCGAUACUUUCCAACAUCAAUGACAUAAAUUGAGAAUCGACCUUGACGGAGUACUCGAAAGUUGGAAAAACAAUAAUUUAAUGAUAUUACCACAAACAAUUGAUAAAUAUUUCCACAAAUUGGAAAAUAUUAGUUUCUCGUUCGAAACAAGUGGGUGGAGUUUCUCCACUGGUGACUUAGCAGUUUACUAAAAUGAAUCUGCUGAACAGACGUAUUAACUUAGACCUAGGAAACUGGUCAACAGAUGGUCCUAAUAGGGAAAUCUUGUCUAAUUUAUAUCAUUCAACAAUUACUCAACUACAUUUCUAAUUCUGACAAAUUAUCCCGAUAACGUUUCGAACAAUUGCUUCCCAACAAGACUUUCCUGGAAAAAUUCCCACAAUAAAUAAAACUGAGAAUUUUCACGCCCUCUAUCAACAACGGGAGUUACCUUCUCGUGAUCUGGACAUGACAGCUAAUUGAAGAUCACGACUGAGAUCCAAUCUGUAACGGAAUUCUAUUCUCAGUCAACAGUCAACAAAGAUGGAGACGGAAGUAAACAAUCGAAAAAGCGAUGGAAUCGGACCACAACUGGACAAUCAUCAGCUAACAGACGGUCCACUCUCGAGAUGGAGAGAGAGCGAGCCCAAAUGAUUUUUGUCGGCUGAUGGCUAAGCAGAUUCUGAGAUUAACUGACCGAAAGACCAUAUCCAUCGAUAAUUUCAUUAAUUCAAUCUCAAAUCACUGUGCUUGUGACCUUUAUCCAGUGCAGUAGAAUAUUGUCGUGACAGAACAAUGGGGGAUAUCGUGUUAUUAACAAUUUGAAUUACAGCAUCAGCAAUGUAUGUUUGUUGUGAAUAAAACAUAUUAUGAUAGAGUUGAUGAUA